CAGCAGCCGCGGUAACACGGAGGGGGCUAGCGUUGUUCGGAAUUACUGGGCGUAAAGCGCACGUAGGCGGCUUUGUAAGUCAGAGGUGAAAGCCCGGGGCUCAACCCCGGAAUUGCCUUUGAGACUGCAUCGCUUGAAUCCAGGAGAGGUGAGUGGAAUUCCGAGUGUAGAGGUGAAAUUCGUAGAUAUUCGGAAGAACACCAGUGGCGAAGGCGGCUCACUGGACUGGUAUUGACGCUGAGGUGCGAAAGCGUGGGGAGCAAACAGGAUUAGAUACCCCCGUAGUCCCUGUCUCUUAUAA
rnacentral:rRNA from 1 species